UACGUAGGGGCUAGCGUUAUCCGGAUUUACUGGGCGUAAAGAGCUCGUAGGCGGUUUGUCGCGUCUGGUGUGAAAUCCCGAGGCUCAACUUCGGGCUUGCAUCGGGUACGGGCAGACUAGAGUACUGUAGGGGAGACUGGAAUUCCUGGUGUAGCGGUGGAAUGCGCAGAUAUCAGGAAGAACACCGGUGGCGAAGGCGGGUCUCUGGGCCUUACCUGACGCUGAGAAGCGAAAGCAUGGGGAGCGAACAGGAUUAGAUACCCGUGUAGU
rnacentral:rRNA from 1 species